AGUCGAACGAGACCUUCGGGUCUAGUGGCGCACGGGUGCGUAACGCGUGGGAAUCUGCCCUUUGCUUCGGAAUAACAGUUAGAAAUGACUGCUAAUACCGGAUGAUGUCUUCGGACCAAAGAUUUAUCGGCAAAGGAUGAGCCCGCGUAGGAUUAGGUAGUUGGUGGGGUAAAGGCCUACCAAGCCGACGAUCCUUAGCUGGUCUGAGAGGAUGAUCAGCCACACUGGGACUGAGACACGGCCCAGACUCCUACGGGAGGCAGCAGUGGGGAAUAUUGGACAAUGGGCGAAAGCCUGAUCCAGCAAUGCCGCGUGAGUGAUGAAGGCCUUCGGGUCGUAAAGCUCUUUUACCAGGGAUGAUAAUGACAGUACCUGGAGAAUAAGCUCCGGCUAACUCCGUGCCAGCAGCCGCGGUAAUACGGAGGGAGCUAGCGUUGUUCGGAAUUACUGGGCGUAAAGAGUACGUAGGCGGUUAUUCAAGUCAGAGGUGAAAGCCCGGGGCUCAACCCCGGAACUGCCUUUGAAACUAGAUAACUAGAGUCUUGGAGAGGUUAGUGGAAUUCCGAGUGUAGAGGUGAAAUUCGUAGAUAUUCGGAAGAACACCAGUGGCGAAGGCGACUAACUGG
rnacentral:rRNA from 1 species